rnacentral:rRNA from 1 species
AUUGAACGCUGGCGGCAGGCCUAACACAUGCAAGUCGAGCGGGGUUUUCGGACCUAGCGGCGGACGGGUGAGUAAUGCGUAGGAAGCUACCCGAUAGAGGGGGAUACCAGUUGGAAACGACUGUUAAUACCGCAUAAUGUCUACGGACCAAAGUGUGGGACCUUCGGGCCACAUGCUAUCGGAUGCGCCUACGUGGGAUUAGCUAGUUGGUGAGGUAAUGGCUCACCAAGGCAACGAUCCCUAGCUGGUUUGAGAGGAUGAUCAGCCACACUGGAACUGAGACACGGUCCAGACUCCUACGGGAGGCAGCAGUGGGGAAUAUUGGACAAUGGGCGCAAGCCUGAUCCAGCCAUGCCGCGUGUGUGAAGAAGGCCUUCGAGUUGUAAAGCACUUUCAGUAGGGAGGAAGCGUUGUGUGUUAAUAGUACACAGCGUUGACGUUACCUACAGAAGAAGCACCGGCUAACUCUGUGCCAGCCGCCGCCGUAAUAC